rnacentral:rRNA from 1 species
UACGUAGGGUGCGAGCGUUGUCCGGAAUUAUUGGGCGUAAAGAGCUUGUAGGCGGUUUGUCGCGUCUGCUGUGAAAAUCCGGGGCUCAACCCCGGACUUGCAGUGGGUACGGGCAGGCUAGAGUGUGGUAGGGGAGACUGGAAUUCCUGGUGUAGCGGUGAAAUGCGCAGAUAUCAGGAGGAACACCGGUGGCGAAGGCGGUGGUCUGGGCCGGCACUGACGCUGAGGAGCGAAAGCGUGGGGAGCGAACAGG